GAUGAACGCUGGCGGCGUGCUUAACACAUGCAAGUCGAACGGAAAGGCCCAAGCUUGCUUGGGUACUCGAGUGGCGAACGGGUGAGUAACACGUGGGUGAUCUGCCCUGCACUUCGGGAUAAGCCUGGGAAACUGGGUCUAAUACUGGAUAGGACCACUUCUUGGAUGGUGUGGUGGAAAGUUUUUUCGGUGUGGGAUGAGCUCGCGGCAUAUCAGCUUGUUGGUGGGGUAAUGGCCUACCAAGGCGUCGACGGGUAGCCGGCCUGAGAGGGUGUACGGCCACAUUGGGACUGAGAUACGGCCCAGACUCCUACGGGAGGCAGCAGUGGGGAAUAUUGCACAAUGGGCGCAAGCCUGAUGCAGCGACGCCGCGUGGGGGAUGACGGCCUUCGGGUUGUAAACUCCUUUCGCUAGGGACGAAGCGUUUUUGUGACGGUACCUGGAGAAGAAGCACCGGCUAACUACGUG
rnacentral:rRNA from 1 species